UGGGGAAUAUUGGACAAUGGGCGCAAGCCUGAUCCAGCCAUGCCGCGUGAGUGACGAAGGCCUUAGGGUUGUAAAGCUCUUUUGGCGGGGAAGAUAAUGACGGUACCCGCAGAAUAAGCUCCGGCUAACUUCGUGCCAGCAGCCGCGGUAAUACGAAGGGAGCUAGCGUUGUUCGGAAUCACUGGGCGUAAAGCGCACGUAGGCGGACUUUCAAGUCUGGGGUGAAAUCCCGGGGCUCAACCUCGGAACUGCCUUUGAUACUGUUGGUCUCGAGUCCGGAAGAGGUGAGUGGAAUUCCUAGUGUAGAGGUGAAAUUCGUAGAUAUUAGGAAGAACACCGGUGGCGAAGGCGGCUCACUGGUCCGGUACUGACGCUGAGGUGCGAAAGCGUGGGGAGCAAACA
rnacentral:rRNA from 1 species